rnacentral:rRNA from 1 species
GGAAUUUUGGUCAAUGGGGGAAACCCUGAACCAGCAACGCCGCGUGAGGGAUGAAGGCCCUCGGGUCGUAAACCUCUGUCGGAAGGGCAGAAAGUACUCCGGGUCAAUACCCCGGAGUGCAGACGGUCCCUUCAAAGGAAGCGCCUGCUACCUCCGUGCCAGCAGCCGCGGUAAUACGGAGGGCGCGAGCGUUAUUCGGAAUCAUUGGGCGUAAAGCGCGUGUAGGCGGCUGUGUAAGUCGGAUGUGAAAGCCCGGGGCUCAACCCCGGAAUGGCAUUCGAAACUGCACAGCUAGAGUCUCGGAGAGGAGGGCGGAAUUCCCGGUGUAGAGGUGAAAUUCGUAGAUAUCGGGAGGAACACCAGUGGCGAAGGCGGCCCUCUGGACGAUGACUGACGCUGAGACGCGAAAGCGUGGGGAGCGAA